AAUAGAUACCCUGGUAGUCCACGCCGUAAACGAUGUCGACUUGGAGGUUGUUCCCUUGAGGAGUGGCUUCCGGAGCUAACGCGUUAAGUCGACCGCCUGGGGAGUACGGCCGCAAGGUUAAAACUCAAAUGAAUUGACGGGGGCCCGCACAAGCGGUGGAGCAUGUGGUUUAAUUCGAUGCAACGCGAAGAACCUUACCUACUCUUGACAUCCAGAGAACUUUCCAGAGAUGCUUUGGUGCCUUCGGGAACUCUGAGACAGGUGCUGCAUGGCUGUCGUCAGCUCGUGUUGUGAAAUGUUGGGUUAAGUCCCGCAACGAGCGCAACCCUUAUCCUUUGUUGCCAGCGGUUAGGCCGGGAACUCAAAGGAGACUGCCAGUGAUAAACUGGAGGAAGGUGGGGAUGACGUCAAGUCAUCAUGGCCCUUACGAGUAGGGCUACACACGUGCUACAAUGGCGCAUACAAAGAGAAGCGACCUCGCGAGAGCAAGCGGACCUCAUAAAGUGCGUCGUAGUCCGGAUUGGAGU
rnacentral:rRNA from 1 species